rnacentral:lncRNA from 1 species
AUUUAUUGUUGCUCACUUUUGUAUUUACUUCAGAUAGUAGACCUUGCCUUUUUCUUGAAAUUGAGAUGAGCAGAGAAAGAAGACUUCAGUGGCGUUUCUCUAUUGAGGCAGGAUAUAUUUAUUAGGAAGUCACCUUAGGAAUUUGUGAAAUGUUUUCUGUUGGUAACUGAAAGUAAUAUGCAAGGACCCAGAGGCAUGAAGCCCUUACUGCUGUCCUGGGGGCUGAGGAAGGAGCUGCCAGAUUACCAUCCCUGAUCCAACCUGUAGGAAUGAACUUAUCACUCACUGCCUGAACAUGGGCACCCAGCCUGUUUUUGGUGAGAGGCGCAUUUGGGGCAAGAUCCAUCCCAUUGCUCCUAGAAAGGCAUGUAAACCUUCCCAUUGUCCCUGUCACACUUGCCUUGGAGAACUGUACCUGUGCAUAAACUGUACCGGCUUCUUUUUUAAUGAAUGUAUAAUCACAUGGUUUUUCCUUUAAACAUUGCUCAUGUCUACAAGAAAGUCUGCAAUCUUGAAAAGCAUUAAAAUGGUCCCAAGACUUGAAUCUUUUC